CUCUUCCGGUGGGUGAGGGCAGGUCCUCCUCCCGACCGGCAGAGGGCGCGAGAGCACGGGGCUCGAGGCCUCGGAGGCUCUCUGGCACGGAUGUGACGUCACGGCCGGAAGCCGGCUUUCCGGGCUCAGGGAGGCGGUGUCGCCCCCCGGCUGUCGCGUCUGUUCGGUGAGAAAACCAAGCCCCCGAAGCCCGCAGUCCAUGGCAGUGAGUGGUCGGCCCCCUGCAGGAUGCAGGCUGCUCCUCGGGGACUGAGCCCAAGGGGCCAGAUGCCCACCCGCCUCCCCCAAGACUCCCGUAUUCAGACGACACCUAACGCCUACUCUACCAAGCACAAACCCAAGCUCCAGGUGACACAGGCAGUUGGGAGACGCUCCCUGUCUUUGUGAGAUGAGCCAGUGUGUGAGAAGUAGAAAAAUCACCUUGUGAUCAACAUUUCUUUAAUACAGAUGGAAAUGACAAACAAAAACAACUGAAAAGAAAUGACUGUUUAUUAUUCUCAAGCAAGUCACAUCAACUUCUGUGUAUAUCCUUCUCAGAAAAGUAAAUUUCACACUCUUGCAGCAAAUGGAACAUGAAACAUUUGAAAGGCUCCAGUGAAAAAUCUGUUCAAACUCCGUGCCAGCUGCUGUCAUUUUAAAAGCCACAGAAGCAUCUCCCCAGCGAACCUGCCUCAGACAAGGCAUGAGCGGCUCCAGAUCUGCUCGGCCAUCAAAAUGGAAGGAGUCUCAGAACUAGCCUCAUGGAUGAGGGCUGAGCCCCACACAGUGUGGAAAGGAGACCAAGGGAGACCCCCAGAACACCCCCACACCUGGCUGACCAGGCCCCUUGCGCUGCAGAGGAAGCGACACAGCUGGAAGGGACAGGAUUUAUGUUGCAUACUUGAACUACAGCGAGUGUAAGACUGGUCCUAUUUACAGGGCAGAAACACUACAGGUGGAGCGUGGGGGGCAGCAGAGCGAGCACCAGAGUCCUGGCCAGAGGGUGCCCCUGCCUGCUGCCUUUCCCACAUCUCCCAGAGGCAUCUCUGCGGCCCCUGCUGGAGUUCUCCGGAGGGGGGACAGGGUCCGCUCACAUGAUGCUUGCUGGAGUGAAGACAGGGCCCACGCACAAGGUGUCUGUGAUCUCCCAGCCACAGGACAGAGGCUUGCACAUGCCCUCGGUGUCCUCGUCUUGUUCUGCAGGCAGCAGCUGCCCUCGAAGUGCUUCCCUGCAGGCAAGAGAGGGGCACUGGAGGCAGCCAGCAUGGGGCCCACAGGCCAGGGGCUCCUGAAGGCUCCCUGCACCAGAAGUCCCAGCCCCUGGUAUGUAGGGUUCCCACCUGGGCCCAGAGCCCAGCCUAGUGCAGGAGUGAGGAUGAGUCUGAUGACUUCUUUCCCCACUGGUCUCUUUUCCCCAGUGGUCUUCCUCCACAGUAAGGGAAAAGGAACCCAUAUUUAUGGAGCACUGACUACAUGCCACACACUGUGCCAGGCACCUUAUAGUAUCUAAUUGUGUUCCCCAAACCACAUAAGGGCAGCAUUAUUAUCCCCAUUUUACCAGUGAAGAAAUUGAGACUGAGAAGGAAGUGACCUGUACAAGGUCACAUCCCUAGAAGGUGGUAGAACCAGGAUUCAACCCAAUUCUCUCAGUCCAAAGCCCACAUUCUUUAUAUCCCAGGCAUAGGACUUAAAAAAAAAAAAUCAUCUCCUGCCCCUCUCCAAAAUCCUACAGACCUACCUACCAAGGUUGAUAAAUGGCUCCACCAUCUGACCAGCUGCUCAGCCACAAGUCAGGAAUCUUGUUCCCCAGCCCAGUCUAUCCCUGUUGAGCCCAGGUCCUGAGCUUUCUCACAGGUGUAGCCACUUCUUUCCAUUCCCAGUGCCACCACUGUCUCUACCCAGGGCUAUCCAGUCUCUCUGCUCUGCCCCUGCCUCCGCCAGACAAUUCUGGCCCAGGUUCAUCUUUCCAGGAGGCAAACACCUGCACUUGAGUGGUCAGCAGCUUCCGUCUGCUCUCAGGCCCUGCCCAACCUGGUCUCCCACCUGCAGGAAGGCCUCCCUCUUUGCUGACAUGGACACUUCAACAGCAAGUCAGUGGUCAGGCUUGUAGGAGGCUCCCCAGGCCAAGAACCCUCUGUCUCCUUAUCUGUCAAAAUGGGUUGAUCCAAUUUCCUAAAAAGCAUCAGUGACUGACCCUCUAGUGCCUUCAAGAUCAACUCCAGCCUGGGCCUCCAAGGUCCUUCUCCAUCCAGUCUUCUGCACAGGCCACUCCAGCCAGAUGCAACUAUUUGCAGUUCUUUGAAUGAACUGGCCUCAAACCCCCACAUCUCUCAGCCCAGACUGCCCCCCACCAUCAGCUUUCCUGCACCUAACUUCCCCUAGCCCUGGCACCUCUGCCACCCGGCUGUCUCUCCCCAGUGAUCUUUCUGCUCUCUGUGCCAGUGUCUGUGUGUGCAGGUCACCACUCUGCCUUGGGUGCCUGUUAUCCCCUCAGGACCUAGCACAGAGCCAGGCUCUAAAGCAGGACAUUUUGGCAGAAUUCCUUGGACGUGGGGAAUUUCUUGGCACAGCCAUUUUAAUACAUCAAAUUUUUUCAUCUCUAAUAAUGAAUAACCCGACUCCCUA